rnacentral:rRNA from 1 species
ACAAGGAUCUGAGACGGGAGUAUGCUAUUGUUAUGAUAGUGUGGUCCCUUUUUUUAUUAAAUACAAAUUACAACUUUCAGCGAUGGAUGUCUAGGUUCUCGCAAC